rfam:Myotis brandtii contig306527, whole genome shotgun sequence.
AUAUUUUAAAGUGUACAGGUAGUUCGUAAGUGUGAUGAUUGGGUGUUCACACUCUUUUGUGAGAUGUGCCUCCCUCAAACCUUGUUACAUCAGCACAUUACCCGCGUGACG